CCCUUAGAUGUCCUGGGCUGCACGCGCGCUACACUGAAUGUGACAUACUGAAUUUUUUCCUUGUGCGAAAAGCACCGGGUAAACAGUAAACACAGUUCGUGCUUGGGAUAGAUUGUUGUAAAUAGUAGUCUUGAACGAGGAAUUCCUAGUAAGUAUCAGUCAUCAGCUGGUACUGAUUACGUCCCUGCCCUUUGUACACACCGCCCGUCGCUACUACUGAUUGGGUGUUCAAGCGAGGUCCUUGAAUGCUAACAUGAUUUUCUUUUGAUAAUUCUGCGUUCGAAGAAGAGGAUCGAGCUUUGGCAUCUAGAGGAAGUAAAAGUCGUAACA
rnacentral:rRNA from 1 species